rnacentral:rRNA from 1 species
UACCCUUGACAUGUCUGGAAUGCCGAAGAGAUUUGGCAGUGCUCGCAAGAGAACCGGAACACAGGUGCUGCAUGGCUGUCGUCAGCUCGUGUCGUGAGAUGUUGGGUUAAGUCCCGCAACGAGCGCAACCCUUGUCAUUAGUUGCUACGAAAGGGCACUCUAAUGAGACUGCCGGUGACAAACCGGAGGAAGGUGGGGAUGACGUCAAGUCCUCAUGGCCCUUAUGGGUAGGGCUUCACACGUCAUACAAUGGUCGGGACAGAGGGCUGCCAACCCGCAAGGGGGAGCCAAUCCCAGAAACCCGAUCGUAGUCCGGAUCGCAGUCUGCAACUCGACUGCGUGAAGUCGGAAUCGCUAGUAAUCGCGGAUCAGCAUGUCGCGGUGAAUACGUUCCCGGGUCUUGUACACACCGCCCGUCACACCAUGGGAGUGGGUUUUACCAGAAGUAGUUAGCCUAACCGCAAGGGGGGCGAUUACCACGGUAGGAUUCAUGACUGGGGUGAAGUCGUAACAAGGUAGGCGUAGAUGA